GUCUUUUACCAGCUUGAGUAAAAGGCAUCUCAAACAUAAAACGACGAAUGUUAUGAGUUCUUUCAAAAUCUGUCUUUCUUUCUUGCAACUCUUUUUCUUCAAAGUAAGGAACUACAUGCGUAACCUGAAUAUAUGCAUAUUUUGAAUCUAAAUCCUUUGGAUUUACUUUGCCAGAAUCCUGAAUCAUUUUGACAUUUUCAGAUCCAAAUUUGUCAGAGUAGAGUUUUUGGAGUCUUUGAGAAAUUUCUGAAAGAGGUGUGAGUUUAGGCUCUUUAUAAAUAUAUUCCUUUCCAUCUUCAUCCUCAAAGAAU
rnacentral:lncRNA from 1 species